rnacentral:rRNA from 1 species
AUACGGAGGAUCCGAGCGUUAUCCGGAUUUAUUGGGUUUAAAGGGUGCGCAGGCGGCCAUUUAAGUCCGCGGUUAAAUCGUGGGGCUAAACCCCAUUCGGCCGUUGCUAUUGGUAGGCUUGAUUGGGGUCGAGGUUGCCGAAAUUGGUUGUUUAGCGGGGAAAUGCAUAGAUAUGACGAAGAACACCGAUUGCGUAGGCAGCUGACCAGACCGAAAAUGACACUCAUUCACGAAAGUGCGUGGAUCGAACUGGAUUAGAUUCCCUUGUAGUCCGCACAGUAAACGAUGAAUACUUGUUUUCGGCGAUAUAAUGUCGGAGGCAAAGCGAAAGCGAUAAGUAUUCCACCUGGGGAGUACGCCGGCAACGGUGAAACUUAAAGGAAUUGACGGUG